rnacentral:rRNA from 1 species
CCUACGGGUUGCAGCAGUAGGGAAUCUUCGGCAAUGGACGAAAGUCUGACCGAGCAACGCCGCGUGAGUGAAGAAGGUUUUCGGAUCGUAAAACUCUGUUGUUAGAGAAGAACAAGUAGGAGAGUAACUGCUCUUACCUUGACGGUAUCUAACCAGAAAGCCACGGCUAACUACGUGCCAGCAGCCGCGGUAAUACGUAGGUGGCAAGCGUUGUCCGGAUUUAUUGGGCGUAAAGGGAGCGCAGGUGGUCUUUUAAGUCUGAUGUGAAAGCCUUCGGCUUAACCGAAGAAGUGCAUCGGAAACUGAAUGACUUGAGUGCAGAAGAGGACAGUGGAACUCCAUGUGUAGCGGUGAAAUGCGUAGAUAUAUGGAGGAACACCAGUGGCGAAGGCGACUGUCUGGUCUGUUACUGACACUGAGGCUCGAAAGCAUGGGUAGCAAACAGGAUUAGAUACCCGCGUAGUC